UACGGAGGGGGCGAGCGUUAUUCGGAAUUAUUGGGCGUAAAGGGCGCGUAGGCGGCCCGGUAAGUCAAAGGUGAAAUCCCUCGGCUCAACUGAGGAACUGCCUUUGAAACUGUCGGGCUUGAGGCCGGGAGGGGGUAGCGGAAUUCCCAGUGUAGCGGUGAAAUGCGUAGAUAUUGGGAGGAAUACCGGUGGCGAAGGCGGCAUCCUGGACCAUUACUGACGCUGAGGCGCGAAAGCUAGGGGAGCAAACGGG
rnacentral:rRNA from 1 species